GACGAACCGUGCGAACGUUAUUCGGAAUCAUUGGGCUUAAAGGGCGCGUAGGCGGGUCGACACGUCGGACCUGAAAUCUCCCGGCUCAACCGGGGAACGGGCUCCGAUACGGUUGGCCUCGAGGUGAGAAGGGGGACCUGGAACGUCCGGUGGAGCGGUGAAAUGCGUUGAGAUCGGACGGAACGCCGACGGCGAAAGCAAGGUCCUGGGCUCAUAUCUGACGCUGAGGCGCGAAAGCCAGGGGAGCGAACGGG
rnacentral:rRNA from 1 species